CGUGGGGCAGCAUGRYUGUAGYAAUACARYUGAUGGCGACCGGCAAACGGGUGCGGAACACGUACGCAAYCUACCCAWAACWGRUGAAUAGCCCUCCGAAAGGAGGAUUAAUACAYCGUAACYUAWUGAAGUGGCAUCACUUUAUUARUAUAGCUCCGGCGGUUUUGGAUGRGCGUGCGSCUGAUUAGRYAGUUGGCGGGGUAACGGCCCACCAAGYCUGCGAUCAGUAACUGGUGUGAGAGCACGACCAGUCACACGGGCACUGAGACACGGGCCCGACUCCUACGGGAGGCAGCAGUAAGGAAUAUUGGUCAAUGGACGCAAGUCUGAACCAGCCAUGCCGCGUGAAGGAUGAAGGUCCUCUGGAUUGUAAACUUCUUUUAUAUGGGACGAAACCUCUUUUUCUAARGAGACUGACGGUACCAUAGGAAUAAGCACCGGCUAACUCCGUGCCAGCAGCCGCGGUAAUACGGAGGGUGCAAGCGUUAUCCCGGAUUCACUGGGUUUAAAGGGUGCGUAGGAGGGCAGGUAAGUCAGUGGUGAAAUCUUCGAGCUUAACUCGGAAACUGCCGUUGAUACUAUCUGUCUUGAAUACCCGUGGAGAUGAGCGGAAUAUGUCAUGUAGCNGGUGAAAUGCUUAGAUACGACAUAGAACACCA
rnacentral:rRNA from 1 species